UACGCAUUUGCUACAUGUAUCUUGAUGAGUUUGGAUAUAUGCAUAUGCCUGUGAUGCCAUCACCACAACCAAGUUACUAGACAUACCCAUCAAGAUGGUUGUUCAUUAUUAUUCAUUCUCACCUUUUUCCAUGACAAAACCCACAUUUUUAGUUAAGCACAGAAUUAUCUGAAAUAAAAACUAUAUAUUACGCAUUAAUUUGUUUAAUAUCUAUCUUGUUCAAUGGUUUGCAAGUUGCAUGAAGCUUUGGAUCUUGCCUGGUCCGUUUCAUUGCUGUAUCUCCAAGGCCUAGCCCCUUGCCUGGCAAAAUAACAGGAGCUCAAUUAAACACACGAAUGAAGUUUCUCCUUACAGUUCUAGCACAAUCUUUUUGAUGUUCUGCUUAGUUUGCUCCUUGUGUGAGAGGGAGAGACUUUCUGAUGCUGUUCCUGGCUUCUCAGUGUUUUCAUCUAAAAAGUAAUGAUGAAGAGGAGAGAUCAGAAGGUGGAAUUUCUACAUAAUAUCUAUCUGGUUGGGUGAACUGUGUCUUACUUAAUUCCUCAUUCACUCAUGGAGGGCACAAGGGAACCAAUUAUUUUACAAGACUGUGGGUUCCCAAGGGUCUCUCAGAGCCUGGAGGAGUGCACGAGGCUUCUGAAGUUCCCCUGAGCAUUUCUCAGGGUAAAGGCAUUCUAAUAGGUACCUGUUAGAAGACUAUUUCUGAUACAGAGAAAGGGCAGCAUUCCAACCUUUCCCCACUGUACCUCCUCUCUGGCCUAACCCCUCAUUUUCUUACCCUAGUUCUCUGCCCCCAGUGAGAGCCAUUGCUCUUCCCCAACAUACCUCAGGCACCGCCCUCUAUGCCUCAGCUCAGGUGGUUUCUCCUCCUGGAUGUCCUCUGUCCCUGCCUCUCAAACACCAUCCACUCUCAGAGCCCAUGCCAAAUUCCAUCCUCUCUAGGAAGUCUUCCUGGAUCACCCAGCAGGCACUUGUUUUUCUCCCACAAUGCCUAUUGUUUCAUCUUCCUUUGAACAUCAGCACAUUCUGUCUUGUGGUGUUACUAUUAUUUUUAGAUGGGUAUUCAGUUUCCUGAAAGGAUGCUGCCUUGGGCUUCCGUAUAGCCCCUGGCUAGCUAGCAGACUGCCCUGAACAGAGAAGACAUCACUAGAUAGCAGUUGGUUGACUGAUUGCAGCAUCCUGCUCCUUAACUAUGCUUUCCUUUCACUGAAGUGGAGAACACACACACACACACACACACACACACACACACACACACACACACACACACACCAGCUACAACCAAUGCAGCCCCUGGUUUCAUAUUUUCAUGAGGGGACUUUACAACUUCUCAUCUUGAACUGUCAGGCAGACAUUCUACAAG
rnacentral:lncRNA from 1 species